UAAAAGGUUCUUAUUAGAACUACACACACACAAAAAAAGAGUAUG
rfam:Tauraco erythrolophus contig77361, whole genome shotgun sequence.